CGGCGCGCAAUCAUUCCGAGAGCUGCAGAAUUCCCUGGUAGACGCUGGCGGGAAAGCCGCUCCUCCAGGACUUUCCUUCUCUAUUUUCUAUCUGCUCAAUUCAAAGACAAGUGCUAUUUCCACUGACUGUUGUCUGUACAUGACCCCGAAUAGAAGCAGUGACCCAUGGCUCUUCAUUAAAAUGGUCCUGAGACUAAAAACAAAACGUCCAAGGCAUGCCCUCAAUAAAAAGAAAGAAAGCGAGAAUGAAACUGUAGACAGAUACACAGUGUCCUGGAAGGAGUUUUAGUGGAGGAUUCCACUCAUCCAUCACUUCGUGUCCUGCGUCUCUUUGAAAUUCCUUGAGCUGACCCAGCUGCCGUUCAAUAAACACUCCAGUGUGGGGGUGACAAAUGUAAUUUUCACCUAAACUGCGUUGCCGUCAUUCUAAUAUAAAGGCUUGCCUCUUUGAAAUACAGUUCUUUUCCGUCCCUUUCUUUCUGUCUUUGACUCACGUGGUUCCCUCUGUGGUGGUGGGAGGCAACUCUCAACGAGACAGAGGCAACAGCAGGUAUUUUUCAGCCCCUCGCAGGCCGAGCUGGCGUCCUUCCAGAACCCCAGCUCCCUGUUUUCGUGCCCUCCGGGUCUCAAAGCCAGCAUAUUUUGC
rnacentral:lncRNA from 1 species